rnacentral:rRNA from 1 species
UACGAAGGGUGCAAGCGUUAAUCGGAAUUACUGGGCGUAAAGGGUGCGUAGGCGGUUAGUUAAGUCUGUUGUGAAAUCCCCGGGCUCAACCUGGGAAUGGCAAUGGAUACUGGCUGGCUAGAGUGUGUCAGAGGAUGGUGGAAUUCCCGGUGUAGCGGUGAAAUGCGUAGAGAUCGGGAGGAACACCAACGGCGAAAGCACUCUGCUGGGCCGACACUGACACUGAGAGACGAAAGCUAGGGGAGCAAAUGGG